UACGAAGGGGGCUAGCGUUUGUUCGGAAUCACUGGGCGUAAAGCGCACGUUAGGCGGUUCGUUAAGUCGGAUGUGAAAGCCCCUCGGCUCAACUGAGGAAGUGCACCCGAAACUGGCGAGCUUGAGUACGAAAGAGGAUCGCGGAAUUCCCGGUGUAGAGGUGAAAUUCGUAGAUAGUCGGGAGGAACACCGGGUGGCGAAGGCGGCGAUCUGGGUCGAUACUGACGCUGAGGUGGCGAAAA
rnacentral:rRNA from 1 species